rnacentral:rRNA from 1 species
AAUCCUUCCGGCCGAAUAUCUAAGGUUUCCAGAGUAUAGCUGAUCUGCUCUGGGUAAGUCGGGGCCUAAGGCCAGGUCGAAAGACGUAACCGAUGGACAACAGGUUGAAAUUCCUGUACCGCGAUAUAACAGAACUGUGGGGACACGUGUGGAGAGCACAAGCCGGGAAUGGAAAGCCCGGCGCAAGCAAGGUAGGAGUCGUACUGGCAAAUCCGUACGGCAAUCCGAAGAUGUGAUGCGUACCGAAAUAAGAGUAGGGAAGAGUGUGAGCCAUGCGUCAAGAAAAGCCGCUAUUGUUUGUAUCGCGCCCGUACCGUAAACCGACACAGGUGGAUGAGGAGAGAAUCCUAAGGCCGACGGGAGAAGCAUUGUUAAGGAACUCGGCAAAAUGACUCCGUAACUUCGGGAGAAGGAGUGCCACUGAGAGGUGGCCGCAGAGAAUUGGCCCAAACAACUGUUUAGCAAAAACACAGGUCUAUGCAAAACCGAAAGGUGAAGUAUAUGGGCUGACGCCUGCCCGGUGCUGGAAGGUUAAGGGGAGAGGUUAGCGCAAGCGAAGCUUUGAACUUAAGCCCCAGUAAACGGCGGCCGUAACGAUAACGGUCCUAAGGUAGCGAAAUUCCUUGUCGGGUAAGUUCCGACCCGCACGAAAGGCGUAAUGAUUUGGGCACUGUCUCAACAAUGCACCCGGUGAAAUUGAAAUACCAGUGAAGAUGCUGGUUACCUGCGCCAGGACGGAAAGACCCCAUGGAGCUUUACUCCAGCUUGAUACUGGGAUUCGGUAUUGCAUGUACAGGAUAGGUGGGAGGCUUUGAAGCGGUAACGCCAGUUGCCGUGGAGCUGCUGUUGGGAUACCACCCUUGCAGUACUGGGUUUCUAACCAGCGGCCUUAAACAGGUCGGGGGACAAUGUCAGGUGGGGAGUUUGACUGGGGCGGUCGCCUCCGAAAGGGUAUCGGAGGCGCUCAAAGGUUCCCUCAGAAUGGUCGGAAACCAUUCGAAGAGUGCAAAGGCAGAAGGGAGCUUGACUGCGACACCGACGGGUGGAGCAGGUACGAAAGUAGGACUUAGUGAUCCGGUGGUAUAAAGUGGGAUUGCCAUCGCUCAACGGGUAAAAGCUACCCUGGGAUAACAGGCUUAUCACUCCCAAGAGUUCACAUCGACGGAGUGGUUUGGCACCUCGAUGUCGGCUCAUCGCAUCCUGGGGCUGAAGUAGGUCCCAAGGGUUGGGCUGUUCGCCCAUUAAAGCGGUACGCGAGCUGGGUUCAGAACGUCGUGAGACAGUUCGGUCCCUAUCCGGCGUGGGCGUAGGAUAUUUGAGAGGAGCUGUCCUUAGUACGAGAGGACCGGGAUGGACUGGCCGCUGGUUGAUCUGUUGUUCCGCCAGGAGCAUAGCAGAGUAGCCAAGCCGGGACGGGAUAAACGCUGAAGGCAUCUAAGCGUGAAGCCCCCCUCAAGAUGAGAUAUCCCAACGAAAGUUGUAAGACCCCUUGAAGACGACGAGGUAGAUAGGACAGAGGUGGAAGUGUGGUAACACAUGGAGCUGACUGUUACUAAUAGGUCGAGGGCAUAGC